GUCAGGGUGGAGCAGCCACAGCCUAUGUAUGAAAAGGGGUUAUGUGGGCUUCACUCACCAGCCUAGGGUUGGCUUUAAGGAGUUCUGAGGGGGACAGA
rnacentral:sRNA from 1 species